GGUAUUUUUUUCGUUUGGUGGCUACGAAAUUCCAAAAGUAAAAAAUACAUCUCUGAAUCGUUUUUUAGUACACAAACUUGAGAAAAUUUUGCUCCUGUGAAUCGAGACUCAAUUCCUGCAACAUCUUAUAGUUAUGGCGAGAACAAAAGGGAAUGAGAAUGUUGUGAAGUCGGCUGACGGAAAAAAAUCGGAUUCUUCCAAAAACAGUAGCAAAGUGCAUAUGGCAUAAAUUAUUGUGGAGAUGUUUAUGGGUGAAUCGCCUUCGUUGUGGACAUGUGGUAUGGCACCAAAGUUGAAGAAGCAGCUGAAUUUUUUGCGGGUUAGAUAUUGUGCAUCGCUUCUGGGGUGGGAUAAGAACAGUCUUAAAGAUGCAUUCGCAGGGAGUGAUAACCACAGUUUUGAUGCAUAUUUUACCGAUGCAAGUAUGAAUAUCGACGCCACGCUGCUGGAAUGAUUUUUUUGUUUGUUUGUGGUUUCAAUGGUAGACUAUAAAUAUGGUUUUGAAUUAAGAUAUUAGACAUCUAAUGGAUAUUAGGUCGGUGUGUUUCGUCCAAUUGAAUAAGUUUUUUGGCAUUCCAUGAUUCAUAGUCAUAAGAUUUAUUGGAAAAUUCUUGCAUUG